UGGGUGUGUAGAGGGAUGUAUGGAUGGAAGAGCAGAUGGACGGAGUUGUGGGUAGACAUGUGAUGAGUUAGCUGAGUGAUGUGUCUCAGGAGUGGGUAUAUAUUGAGUGAUUGUUUAAUCAUGCUCUACACAUGAAGAAUUUUAAAAGUAAAAUGUGGGUAGAAUGCUGCCAGUGUUUCCAUCAUAGGGGACACUCUGAGCUUGUUCUGCAUGUCCUACAGAGGGAGUGCUGAGCCCAGUCAUCUGCUACCAGCAGUAAGGAACACAAGGGUUUACUGGGGACACCUGUUGCUGCUGACUGUUUCAGUGAAUGACACCUGCUCCCAGCUGGCCCAGGGGAUUUGAAGAGCUAAGCUGGACUUGUGAACUGAGCUUCCUUCCAGGUCUAAAUCCUUUUCUGUCCCCGUGAGUAAUCAGGCUGGAGACACGUGGUUUGCUGCGGGGAUCAGUAGGAACAGAGCUACAAUGCCUGUGUCCCCAAAUUCAUGUAUUGAAAUAAACCCUCACCCCGAGUUGAGGGUGGUGGCAGGUGGAUCAUGACAAGGUCAUGAGGAUGGAGCCCACAUCCGUGGGGUUAGAGCCCUCGUAGAAGAGGCCUAGGAGCACCCACAGCUCAGCACCAUGCGAGGACAUGGAAGACACCAUCUGCCGCCCAGGACAGGUCCUCCUGGGUGCCCGAGCCUGCUCCAACAGGGGGAAGGUCAUUGGUCCCAGCCUCAUUUCUUCUCCUGUCUCUCAGUUUACCUCCCUUAACGACUCCUCUGUGAAGCCUUGGAGCUGAGGUGAGAGGCCCUGAAGAGCCGCCAUGCCUCAGCUGCUACUUCUCCCGUCAGUGCCAAUGUCACCAUGUCCCCGCCACACUGGCCUGUGCAUGUCCUUCUGUGGAUCCUCAUACAUCCCCGGUCUGGGCCUGACUGGCACCAACCCGCUGGUCCUCCCUUGUUCCUGUGCAUCCUUCCUGCGAUAAAGACUCAUCUGGAAGGAAAGGCUCUGUGAACGUUCUCUACAGAGGAAUGGCCCCUGGGGCUGACUCGGGGAUUGUGGCACUGGCCUUCCUUCUGACUUGGUAGGGGAUCUUUAACAGGGAUCUUCACUUAGGCAUGGGUGCUCUGGGGCUAGGCCCAAGCUGGCUCUCCUGGGUCCCAAGGAAAGCCCUUGUCAACAUGGGAGUGGGACAGGACCUCGAGCCUGUCUGCCAAAGAGUAGGUUCCCCAUCAUCACAAAGAAGCCCCACCCCCAGGCACACCCAUCCUCCCUGCUCACUGAGUGCUGUUCUUCGUGAGUCACAGGGCUCUCUGUGUGCCAGUGCCCUCGCCUCUGUCCUCCCAGAGGGUAGCCCCAUCCCUGGUGGACGCUACCCCAUGCGCAUCCAAAGAGGACAGCUCAGGCCUCACCUCCUCCAGACUGGUUGGUCCUGAAGAGGCACACACCUCCUCCCGAGGACUAGUGACUCCAGCCCGUGUUGUGUUCCUUACCUGUCACAGCUGCCCUCACCCGGCUGCCCCCAGCCAUGCUGUCCUUGACACAGGCGUAGUGAAUCAGCACCUCGAGGCCUGUGCUCAGCUGGGACAGAGGGACUGGUGUUUGGGCUGAAGGGCCAGUGUCCUUGCUACAGGCUCCCAGUUGCUAUAAUAGUGUUUGCUUCUCCCAGUUCUUCCGGAAAUGAGGGGCCAAGGAGAAGACACGGCCCCCCACCCAGGCUUCUACAUCCAUGUGGGACUGAGCCAUCAGCUAGAAAAGCCUCCGUGUCUCCCAGGCCCCCAUGACGACCAUGUUUAUUUCUAGAGUUGCACCAUCUGGCUUUAAAGUUUAUGUCUCUUGA